AGUGAACGCUGGCGGUAGGCCUAACACAUGCAAGUCGAACGGCCGCACAGUAAGAGCUUGCUCUUACGGGUGGCGACUGGCGGACGGGUACGGAAAACAUCGCAAUCUACUUUUAAGUGGGCGAUAACGUAGGGAAACUUACGCUAAUACAUCAUACGACCAACGGGUGAAAGCAGGGGACCUUCGGACCUUGCGCGAUUGAAUGAGCCGAUGUCGGAUUAGCUAGUUUGCGGGGUAAAGGCGCACCAAGCCGACGGUCCGUAGCUGGUCGGAGAGGAUGAUCAGCCACACGGGAAGUGGGACACGCUCCAGACUCCUGCGGGAGGCAGCAGCGGGGAAUAGUGAACAGUGGGCGCAAGCCUGAUCCAGGCAUACCGCGUGCGGCAGGAGGGCCCCCGGGUUGUAAAGCCCUCUUGUUGGGAAAGAACAUCAGCAUGCUAGUAUCUCGCCAUGCUGACGGUACCCAAAGAAUAAGCACCGGCUAACUUGUUC
rnacentral:rRNA from 1 species